UACGUAGGGGGCGAGCGUUGUCCGGAUUUACUGGGCGUAAAGAGCGCGUAGGCGGAAGCUUAAGUGUGGCCUGAAAGCCCCCGGCUCAACCGGGAGGGUGGCUGCAAACUAGGGCGUUCUAGAGGGGGAGUAGAGGAAAGUGGAAUUCCGGGUGUAGCGGUGAAAUGCGUAGAGAUCCGGAGGAACACCAGUGGCGAAGGCGGCUUUCU
rnacentral:rRNA from 1 species